rnacentral:tRNA from 1 species
GGCAAGAUGACCGAGUGGUUAAGGUGCGCGACUCAAGUGUUCUAACUUGUCCUAGACCAACUAGGGUGUCUUCGCGUGUCGCAAGACGCGUGGGUUCGAAUCCCACUCUUGUCA